GUAGGGAAUUUUCCGCAAUGGGCGAAAGCCUGACGGAGCAACGCCGCGUGAGGGAAGAAGGUCUUCGGAUCGUAAACCUCUGUCUUCAGGGACGAUGAUGACGGUACCUGAGGAGGAAGCCACGGCUAACUACGUGCCAGCAGCCGCGGUAAUACGUAGGUGGCGAGCGUUGUCCGGAAUUACUGGGCGUAAAGGGCGUGUAGGCGGCCAUUUAAGUCAGAUGUGAAAUACCAUGGCUUAACCAUGGGACUGCAUUUGAGACUGGAUGGCUUGAGGAUCGGAGAGGGCAGUGGAAUUCCCAGUGUAGCGGUGAAAUGCGUAGAUAUUGGGAGGAACACCAGUGGCGAAGGCGACUGCCUGGACGACACCUGACGCUGAGGCGCGAAAGCUAGGGGAGCAAACGGGAUUAGAAACCCUAGUAGUCCC
rnacentral:rRNA from 1 species